GGGGUUGUGGCUCAGAGGGAGAGUGCUUGCCUUCAUGCAUGAGGCACUGGGUUCGAUCCUCAGCACCACA
rnacentral:tRNA from 1 species